rnacentral:rRNA from 1 species
GACGAACGCUGGCGGCGUGCUUAACACAUGCAAGUCGAGCGGUAAGGCCCUUCGGGGUACACGAGCGGCGAACGGGUGAGUAACACGUGGGUGAUCUGCCUCGCACUUCGGGAUAAGCCUGGGAAACUGGGUCUAAUACCGGAUAUGACUCCUGGUUGCAUGGCUGGGGGUGGAAAGAUUUAUCGGUGCGAGAUGGGCCCGCGGCCUAUCAGCUUGUUGGUGGGGUAAUGGCCUACCAAGGCGACGACGGGUAGCCGGCCUGAGAGGGCGACCGGCCACACUGGGACUGAGACACGGCCCAGACUCCUACGGGAGGCAGCAGUGGGGAAUAUUGCACAAUGGGCGAAAGCCUGAUGCAGCGACGCCGCGUGAGGGAUGACGGCCUUCGGGUUGUAAACCUCUUUCGACAGGGACGAAGCGUAAGUGACGGUACCUGUAGAAGAAGCACCGGCCAACUACGUG